rnacentral:rRNA from 1 species
CCUACGGGCAGCAGCAGUGGGGAAUAUUGCACAAUGGGGGAAACCCUGAUGCAGCGACGCCGCGUGAGUGAAGAAGUAUCUCGGUACGUAAAGCUCUAUCAGCAGGGAAGAAAAUGACGGUACCUGACUAAGAAGCACAGGCUAACUAAGUGCCAGCAGCCGCGGUAAUACGUAGGGGGCAAGCGUUAUCCUGAUUUACUGGGUGUAAAGGGAGCGUAGACGGCAGCACAAGUCUGGAGUGAAAUCCCGGGGCUUAACCCCGGAACUGCUUUGGAAACUGUGCGGCGGGAGUGCAGGAGGGGUAAGCGGAAUUCCUAGUGUAGCGGUGAAAUGCGUAGAUAUUAGGAGGAACUCCGGUGGCGAAGGCGGCUUACUGGACUGUAACUGACGUUGAGGCUCGAAAGCGUGGGGAGCAAACAGGAUUAGAUACCCGGGUAGUC